rnacentral:rRNA from 1 species
AUUGAACGCUAGCGGCAUGCCUAACACAUGCAAGUCGAACGAGUGGCGGACGGGUGAGUAAUGUAUCGGAACGUGCCCAGUAGCGGGGGAUAACUACUCGAAAGAGUGGCUAAUACCGCAUACCAUCGGAGCGGCCGAUAUCGGAUUAGCUAGUUGGUGGGGUAAAGGCUCACCAAGGCGACGAUCCCUAGCUGGUUUGAGAGGAUGAACAGCCACACUGGGACUGAGACACGGCCCAGACUCCUACGGGAGGCAGCAGUGGGGAAUAUUGCACAAUGGGGGCAACCCUGAUCCAGCCAUCCCGCGUGUAUGAGAAGGCCUUCGGGUUGUAAAGUACUUUAAGCUGGGAGGCGUUAUCAGCAGAAUAAGCACCGGCUAACUCCGUGCCAGCAGCCGCGGUAAUAC